rnacentral:rRNA from 1 species
CUUGACCUCAAAUUAGGAGAGC